rfam:Pristionchus pacificus strain PS312 contig12561, whole genome shotgun sequence.
UCUUCUUUUCACGUGCUCUCUCAUCGGUCAGAGAGGCGAGAUAGUGUGUGAAAUGAAGAGA